rnacentral:rRNA from 1 species
AUAAUGGGUCAGCGACUUAUAUUCUGUAGCAAGGUUAACCGAAUAGGGGAGCCGAAGGGAAACCGAGUCUUAACUGGGCGUUAAGUUGCAGGGUAUAGACCCGAAACCCGGUGAUCUAGCCAUGGGCAGGUUGAAGGUUGGGUAACACUAACUGGAGGACCGAACCGACUAAUGUUGAAAAAUUAGCGGAUGACUUGUGGCUGGGGGUGAAAGGCCAAUCAA